CCCUUAGAUGUUCUGGGCCGCACGCGCGCUACACUGACGAAGGCAACGAGCUUUCCUUUACCGAAAGGUACGGGUAAUCUUUUGAAACUUCGUCGUGCUGGGGAUAGAUCCUUGCAAUUAUUGAUCUUAAACGAGGAAUUCCUAGUAAGCGCAAGUCAUCAACUUGCGUUGAUUACGUCCCUGCCCUUUGUACACACCGCCCGUCGCUACUACCGAUUGAAUGGUUUAGUGAGGCCUUCGGAUCCGCAACUCGUUUUGUGGAGAAGUUGGACAAACUCAGUCAUUUAGAGGAAGUAAAAGUCGUANCA
rnacentral:rRNA from 1 species